rnacentral:rRNA from 1 species
GAUGAACGCUGGCGGCGUGCCUAACACAUGCAAGUCGAGCGGAGAUAUAGAAAGUGCUUGCACUUUCUAUAUUUUAGCGGCGGACGGGUGAGUAACGCGUGGGUAAUCUGCCUUAUACAGGGGAAUAACAAUGAGAAAUCAUUGCUAAUACUUCAUAAGCUUACGUUAUCGCAUGAUAGAGUAAGAAAAGAUUUAUCGGUAUAAGAGGAGCCCGCGGCUGAUUAGCUAGUUGGUAAGGUAACGGCUUACCAAGGCAACGAUCAGUAGCCGACCUGAGAGGGUGAUCGGCCACAUUGGGACUGAGACACGGCCCAAACUCCUACGGGAGGCAGCAGUGGGGAAUAUUGCACAAUGGAGGAAACUCUGAUGCAGCAACGCCGCGUGAAGGAAGAAGGGUUUCGGCUCGUAAACUUCUAUCGACAGGGAAGAAAGAAAUAACGGUACCUGAGGAGGAGGCCACGGCUAACUACGUGCCAGCCGCCGCGGUAACAC